rnacentral:lncRNA from 1 species
UAUUGCAUCUCUAUCUCAAUCAUAAUGAAUGUUGCAUGAGUUCCUCCCAAAGAAAAUUGUGUCAAGAUAAAUGUUCACCGCUUUUCAUCAGAAGGUCCUCUUCCAAAUGGCAACUCCAACAGGGUAGGUGUUCUCAUGAAUGCACAUGGCAGGAAACUGUGGGAAGCUUGUGGCCUUAAGCAUCACGACUAAUGUCAAGGAGGUCAUGUGGGGAAUACAAUCGGAGCCGCCAGAUGUGUUGAACUGGGUUUUCACAAGGUACACAUCGAUUGAGACUAAUGACUUCCUAGCUUUCAGUGUUAUCUGAUAUCAAGAAGAAAUGGUCAUCGAAAUGACUUAGUAGAAGUCAUGACUAGGUUUAACACAAUCCUUGCAAAUAACUUCAAACUUGGCAAAACAGAUCGCAUCGUCACUCGAGUCCCAGGAAGAUAAAAUGCUGCGCGGCUGAGUAAAUGGCUAUGUAUGGUCGGGAAAACCUUCCGGUCAUUGCAGCAGUCCCUGCUCAAGCACUACAAGAAAAGAGGUCAUUUUCGUCCGUCAAAUUCUGGUAAUAAGUAGCCGCUUUUCUUGUAGUGAAGGAGGAUGAGGGCGUGUUCUAAAUCUUUUAUUCUAUUUUUCCUCAAUUUCUAGGAUUUCACUACUUAUUGGCGUUUUUAUAUUUGAAAUUUCCGUCAGAAAUUGAAAGGUGAGACUAUUAAUCAUUGAACUAUAUCAUUUCGGUUUGGUAUUUAAUUUGUGACUACAGAAAAUGCUGGUCUGGUGUAGAUAUGUCCUUUCUUUUUAAUAAUUUGCAUUUAUUUUAUGCUUCAGCCACGUAAACUGAGACCAAAAAUCACUAUCGGAGAAAUGUCAAAAGUUGUCGCUUUUUUAUGAUCAUUAAUAGUUGCCAUAUUAAUAUGCAUGAAUUUUAUUAUAUAGUAGAUUGUAUAUGCACAUAUAAGAAUCAUUUGGUGACAAUGAUGCACGUCAAAUUUCCAACACAUGUUUAAUUAAAUUUCAUAUGUAUGUCUUUUCUUUUUGAUAUUUUACAUUUAUUUUUUUCUUCAGCCAAGUAAAUUGAGCAAUACAAAUAUUCACAAUGGGACAAAUGUCAAAAAUCGUCGCUUUUUUAUGAUAUGUAAUAUUUGCCAUAUUAAUAUGCAGGAAUUGUAUUAUAUAAUAGAAUAUUGUACAUGCACAUAUAAGAAUCAUUUGGUGAAAAUGUUGCAGGUCAAAUUUCCAACACAUGUUUAAUUAAAUUUUCUUUAGUUCAGGCAUUUGUGUUAAAAAUUUUCUAUCAUGUUUCUGCGGUCAUUAUCUACUUGGCACUCACCUUCACCAACAAAUCUAGUAUCACUCUUUAUUUCUUCAUUAAAUUUUAAAAUUUUCUCAUAUUUACAAAGAUUGUGCGCUGGUAUGUACCGUUUGUGGUGUAUGGUUCUAUUCUUAAUCCUCAAGAUUUGAGAUGUAUUGUUCUUUUUAGAUUUCAAAGUUUGUCCAUGUGUAUUUAUAUGUUAACUAAAAUAUAUCUUAAAAAUAUAUAAUAUGAUCUUUUCAAUAAGGCGAAGCGUGUAUUUUUCCUUUAUACAGAAUAUAAGUAAAUAACCCAUGACAAGUCAAUAAUUCCGGCAAAGAGGACACACUUAGAGAUUAAAUCUAUUGUCAAAAUUUUGUAUUAAAAUAUGUUUGCAUUCAGUAGACUCUGAGUCCAAGGAAUAGAUAUCACCUAUUGGUGUGCUUUAGUACUCCUGCGUCAUUUGUAGUAAUACUGUCAUGACUUAACAUUGGCUAGGUCUUUCCAUUUAUAAACUCAGUAUUGCAUCUCUGUCUCAAUCAUAAUGAAUGUUGCAUGAGUUCCUUCCGAAGAAAAUUGUGUCAAGAUAAAUGUUCACCGCUUUUCAUCAGAAGUUCCUCUUCCAAAUGGCAACUCCGACAGGAUUGGUGUUCUCAAGAAUGCAGAUGGCCGGAGACUGUGGGGAGCUUGUGUCCUUAUGCAUCACAUGACUAAUGUCAAAGCCGUCAUGUGGGGAAUACAAUCAGGAGAUGCCAGAUGUGUUGAACUGUGUUUUCACAAUCCAUGCAAAUAACUUCAAACUCGUCAAAACAGAUCGCAUUGUCACUCGAGUCCGAGAUAAAAUGCAGCGUAAGAAAUGGCUCAUGAAGAUGCCAUGUUGACAAACCAAGCUCAGGUCCCUUUAGGGGUUGAAGUUUAAUAUAUUAUAUUUUAAUAAUUAAUAAUUUAAAAUUAUUUUAGUUUUUCAAAAUUAUUACAAAUAAUCAUUUUUCUAAAACUCUACGCAACACACGUAUUUGACUAUUGCAACAUGAAAUGGACAUGAAUGAUUAUCAUUGUUGUUGGUAUGGAUUAGUAGUAACAUAAUUUUGCAACACUCAGUGUUCAUAAAAUUGCCUAGGUCAUCUAUGAUGUAGUGCUUGAAUGUAGUUUUCAGUGGUGUAACAUGGCAGCUAAUAUUGUUAAUUUUUGUUUUUCUAGGUAAUUUUUAGUGGUAGCUUCUCUUAGGAAGGCAUGCCCUCUUCACAUGUUAUGCUUGUAUAUGAUUGCUGGUUAGGGCUAUGGGCUGUGGUGUAUUUUUAUCUUAUUAAUGGAAUAUCCAUGUUUAUCAAAAAAAAAAAGAUAAGGGCUCUAAUCUUUAAUUAAUAUUGUAUAUAUUGUGAUUCAGUUUUCCUUUAGUGAUUAACAAUAUUUAAUAAAAAAAAUAUGGUGAAAUCACCCUGUAAUCUACUCAUCUUUUAAAAUAUUAAAGAGUAAUGUUUUUUGCAUAAAACUAUUAUACAUAAUGAUGUGCCAUAUUGCUAUCUAAAAUAUAGUAAAAUGAAGUUGUUGAGUGAUGGUUGAGGAAACACAGACAAUCUUAUUAAUGUUAAUGUCACAUCAUUUUGUGUAGCCAAUUUUGUGCGUGAUUUUCCCCAAUAAUACUACAUGUACAAAAUUAGGUUCUACAUAAUGAUGUGGAAUUGUUAAGCAUUAAUCACUCCUUGAAACUAGCAUUAACAAAGAUACAGAAAAAUUAUUUUAUGAUUAUAUGGUUAUCUAACACAAUUCUUUCCUUUUCGAUGUCUAUUAUUUAUUUAUAAUAAUACUAAUUUUUAACUAUUUAUUCUUACUACUUAAUAGUUGUAGUAAAUAAUUUUAAUGACAAUCUAUAGUGGCUCUAUCGAGAAAAUAAAACAUAUAAUUUAUGCGUGCGACUAUCUAAAUAUUUAGAUUUAUUGCAACCAUUAUUAAUUUAGAAAUAUUCCAAUUAGCUACACUCAAUAUAUAUAUAUUUAUGUAUAUAUAUAUAUAUAUAUAUAUAUAUAUAUAUAAUUGAUUAUCUCAUGAUCUCAUCAAUAAUAAUAAAAAAAUUAUCGCACACGCUUUUUAUAUCCUCGUCACAGUACUUAAAAUAAAUAAUUAAAUAUUUAUUACGUCACUAUAACUUUAAUCAAAGCGUAAUAAUGUUAAUUUAACUAUUACUCGUGCCUAUUUAUAAAUAUUAAUUUUUUGUACAAUUAAAAAAUAAAGUUAUUAAAUAAUAAUUACGUACUUGAGAAUUUGGGGUUGUUACAUCGUCAUAGUUAUUAUUACUUUAUCGAGCAAGAUUUUGAUAGAGUGUACUUGAAUUCUUUGGGUGGAUAUCUAAUACUCCCUCUGGUCCUUAUUAUAAGGCACCAAGACUUUUUGCACACAAUUCUAUGUGCUUUGACCACCUACUUAAAAUUAUUUUUUUUUUAAUUUCUUUUUUUGAAUUAAAAUAUAUAUCACAUAUUUUAAUUCAGAAAAAGAAAAAUUUAAAAAAAGUAAUUUUAAGUAGGUGGUCAAAGCACCUAGAAUUGUGUGCAAAAAGUCCUGGCGCCUUAUAAUAAGGACCAGAGGAAGUAUAUGAUUUUUUUUUCAUUGUUAUUUUUCUUAUCCCGAACAUAAUCUAAGAAAUUUUGAUAGAGUAUACUUGAAUAGGGGUGAGCAUUCGGUCGGUCCGAUCCAAAACCGGAUCAAACCGAAUAGACCCAAAAUCGAAGUUUGAAUUUUUUUUGGACCAAACCAGACCAAAGUUUUAUUAUGGACUGAACUGGACCGAACAGAAAUAAUUCGGUUCGGUCCGGACCAAAAGAACCGAAAUUAUUUUUAAAAUAAAAAAUUAUAUUAUAAAUAAAACUAUAAUUCAUCUUUUAUUUUUAAAUUUUCAUAUUAAUUAAUCACCCCCAAUUCAUUAAAGAUAUAUAUAAUUAAAUUUACAAAUUAGAUACUAUAAUUAUAACAUAAAAGAUAUAUCUAACAUAAAUAUUAAUUAAAAUCAUAUAUAUAUAUAUAUAUAUAUAUAUAUUGUUCUAUUCGGUCUAUUCGGGCCGGACCGAAUAUUUUUUUACGGACCGGACCGAACUUUAUUUCGGUCUAUUCGGUCCGGGCCGAAUGAACCGAAUUUUCAGAAAAUUAGGACCGAACCGAAUUUACACGAUUCGGUUUGGUUUUUCGGUUCCAGUUCAGUUUUACUCACCCCUAAUUUUAGGACGGGUAUUAUACUUUAAGGGGGUAUAUUCGAUUGAGAUUUUAAAGGAUUUUUUUUCAUUAAUGAAAUCCGAGAAUAUUCAAUUGGGAUUAUUCAAAAUGUUUUAAAAUCUUAGGAUAGUCAAUUGAGAUUUUAAAUUAUUUUACAAAAUCUGGUGGUAUUCAAUUAGGAUUGAAAAUUAUGCUUAAAAAUCCUAUGGUAUUCAAUUGAAAUUGUUUAAAAUCUAUUAAAAUCUGAAUGGUAAUGGAUUGUUUGGAUUUCAUAAAAUUAUGGAUUUUGUAGGGAUUCCGUUUUUUGAAAUCCCACCAAAAAAUUAAUGUGAUUUGGAGGUAUUCUGCUUGAAUCCUAAAGAAUCUAUAUAACUCUAUUUUAUGACAUUUUAUCAAAAAUGCCCAUUAAAUUUAAAUCACAUGCAAUCCAUUAAAAUACAUAUAUUAAAAACAAUACAUUAAAAUAUCAACAGAAUUGAAUACACCGCCAGAUUAAUCUGUUAUAUUCUACGAAAAUUCAUAAAUUGUUUAUGAAUUCAACAUAUAUAUAUCUCUCUUCUAUCAAUGAGUAGAAAGAUUAUAUGCAUGAAAAAAAUAUGCAAAAGAUUCUCCCUAGCUAUAAAUUCCAUGAACACAGCUGUUUUAUUCAAUAACUGUGAAAUCUCAUAUACCUUAUUAUCUUUUUAAACUCAUAUAAACAAUAAAAAUACAGCUCAUAUAUGCUAUCAGCUGAGAGGCUAUAUACUUAUCUCUUUCAUUGUUUAGUUCACAGCAAUAACAUAUUCGCAGUGAUGAGUAAUUCAAACCAAAAUGGUUUAACAAGCCCAAUAUCUACAGCUCCAGGGAGGCAUGGAGGAGCUCCUCAAUAUUCAUUCAAUUCUGAUGGGUCUUUAAUGACCAACGGUGAG